CAACCUCUGGAGGCAAACUUGUAUGUUG
rfam:Nestor notabilis contig34576, whole genome shotgun sequence.